GACGAACCGUGCGAACGUUGUUCGGAAUCACUGGGCUUAAAGGGCGCGUAGGCGGCUCCGAAAGUCCGGGGUGAAAGCCCCCAGCUUAACUGGGGAAGUGCCUCGGAUACUGCGGAGCUCGAGGGAGGUAGGGGCGGAUGGAACUUCCGGUGGAGCGGUGAAAUGCGUUGAUAUCGGAAGGAACGCCGGUGGCGAAAGCGAUCCGCUGGCCCUCUACUGACGCUGAGGCGCGAAAGCCAGGGGAGCAAAGCGGG
rnacentral:rRNA from 1 species